CAGCAGCCGCGGGAAUACGUAGGUGGCAAGCGUUGUCCGGAAUUAUUGGGCGUAAAGGGCUCGCAGGCGGUUUCUUAAGUCUGAUGUGAAAGCCCCCGGCUCAACCGGGGAGGGUCAUUGGAAACUGGGAAACUUGAGUGCAGAAGAGGAGAGUGGAAUUCCACGUGUAGCGGUGAAAUGCGUAGAGAUGUGGAGGAACACCAGUGGCGAAGGCGACUCUCUGGUCUGUAACUGACGCUGAGGGGCGAAAGCGUGGGGAGCGAACAGGAUUAGAUACCCCUGUAGUCCCUGUCUCUUAUAU
rnacentral:rRNA from 1 species